rnacentral:lncRNA from 1 species
CUGGGUUAUCUCUUUGAUUUAUUUUUUUUCAUAAAUUAAUUUAUAUUUAUAAUUAAAUUUUUACUAUUUUAUUCUUUCUUUAAUUUUUUUACAAUCAAUUCUCUUUUAUUUCUUCUUCAAAAAAAAGAAAAACAAUCACCUUAGAUCUCUGUGGAAACGAUUCCGACUCAUCCUAUCUAAAUUAAUUUUUAUUCUUGACCACCUACGAUAGCGAUCACUAACUCCAUAUCCUUGAGAAUUUGAAGCUCCAUCUAUACGAAGGAUCCAACAUUGAGGUUUUAUUUUCUCGAAUGGUACUGAAGCCAAAUCCUCAUCC